UCCCUGGCAGUCCAGUGGUUAGGACUCGGCGCUCUUACUGCCGAGGGCCCGGGUUCAAUCCCUGGUUGGGGAA
rnacentral:tRNA from 1 species